rnacentral:rRNA from 1 species
UUUCCUAGCGGCGGACGGGUGAGUAAUGCUUAGGAAUCUGCCUAUUAGUGGGGGACAACGUUUCGAAAGGAACGCUAAUACCGCAUACGCCCUACGGGGGAAAGCAGGGGAUCUUCGGACCUUGCGCUAAUAGAUGAGCCUAAGCCAGAUUAGCUAGUUGGUGGGGUAAAGGCCUACCAAGGCGACGAUCUGUAGCGGGUCUGAGAGGAUGAUCCGCCACACUAGGACUGAGACACGGCCCAGACUCCUACGGAAGGCAGCAG